GGACUACCAGGGUAUCUAAUCCUGUUUGCUACCCACGCUUUCGCGUCUCAGCGUCAAGAUCGGCCCAGAAGGCCGCCUUCGCCACCGGUAUUCCUCCUAAUAUCUACGAAUUUCACCUCUACACUAGGAAUUCCACCUUCCUCUACCGUCUUCUAGCCAGGCAGUUUCGUAUGCACUUCCUCGGUUGAGCCCAGGGAUUUCACAUUCGACUUGCCUGACCGCCUACACGCGCUUUACGCCCAAUGAUUCCGAACAACGCUAGCACCCUACGUAUUACCGCGGCUGCUGGCAC
rnacentral:rRNA from 1 species